rnacentral:lncRNA from 1 species
AGCCUGAAAUCCUGCUUCCACUAAGUACCAGCUGGGUAACUUCAGGUCUUCUGUGCUCAGUUUCAGGCCCUGGAGGUCCAUGCUUCUGCCCAAGCUGUGUCUCAUCUCUGCAGGUGGAGCCCAGUUGACAGGAAAUGUUUCUCCAGAAGCUGAAAAGCUGCCUGGUAAAGGCCUUUCAUAAAAUGGUCUGCGUUUGGGACCAGGAAGACAGAAGACUCCUCAAGAAGAGAACUGGAACCUUAACCCACUUCAGACUUCUUCAUGUCUGAAGCUUAUUUCCACCAUCCCAUUGAGAACCAAAGAAGCGAGCUCCUUGGAGAAUCGGCUCCCACCUGGACCUUCUGUUUAUCCUUCCAAUAGCUGCUG